CAGCUCAGCACACUUCCAUCUUCAUCCCAACUUAACCAGCACAUUUAGAAAGAUAAGCAGGGCUGAGUACCAAAAGCACUCAGUGAACAUGUGCCGAAAACAUUUGAAACUUUGCAUGAUAAUGCUAUAUAUUGAACUUGCCACUUUAAGCAAUACACAAGGGAUUUUCUGAAGCAACCUGUGUUUGCUAAACUGUUUUUACAUAGUAAUUGAAAGUGUCUGCGCAGACUAAGUUCUCAUAUAAGUAUGUACCAUAUCUACUAAUCUCAAUAAACACGUUGAGAAGUAGGCCUCCUUCCCAAACGUAACGACAAGCUAACUCAAGGUUAACCGUCACUCUGUGUACACAAAUCCUGACUCGCUCAGGACCCGAAUUCGUUCUUCUAUGUAGAUGGUAUCAUACAAAUCUUAAACAUUGGCAAGUACAACAAUUUAGAAAAUAAAUGCAUACACUUGAACUUUAUAUAUAUAAGUAUGCAUCUUUGUUUCUUGAGUUAGUAAGCCCACCUGAUAUGUUUCUCUUACUUCGUACUCUAGUGUCGGGCUCGUUCCUAGCCGGAACCUUUAAAUAGAUAAAGAUUUUUUGUAAGAAAAUAAGUAAGGAAAAUAUAUAUAUAUAUAUAUAUAUAUAAAUAUAAUAUUACAACAAUAACUCAUACUUGCUAUUUACUUAUUAUCCUAACAUUUCCUCACGUCACAUCAUCAACAUACUAAAACCAUUUCUCUAAAUUCAAUAAGGAAAGAUAAAAGAAUGAGUUAAAUGAUGUUCAUCAACUCUCAAUAAAUACGCAUAUAUAUAGUUUAAUAAACUAACAUUAUCAAUCAUCUCAAUCUCUUUAAAAAGAAACCUCAAUGAGCUAAAUUAACCUCAAUCAAUACUACUAAUCUCAACUAUAUGCAUAAAAAUAACAACUUUAUCACUUCCCUACUGUUUAUACAACAGAGCUUUACAAAAGAAUUGGGUAGUAGGGCUAUUCUAACCUCAAUAAUUAAUAAAAUCACAUUAUAGUAUACAUAUCUCCAUCAAACAAUAGCAUAUAAACCUUCUCAAUUCAAAAGCCCCAACUUCACCUAAACUAACAAAAUCAAUCUCACAACCAUACAGUGCAAACUCAUAAUAUACUCAUAUAUAACAUAAUUCCAGCUCAAGAGCACAUGUAUAAACUCAUUUAUUCAAGAACAUAAUCAGAAUUUUCGAACUCAAACCUAGGGUUUACACUAACUUGAGAAAAAUCCAAAAUCAAGUAAGAAUUUAUGCAAUUAACCAUCAUAAUCAUGCUUAGGAACACUUGAAACAUAAUAUAUCUCAAUAUCAAGAUCAAACUUCAACUCAAACAUUAAAUCCCCAAUUUUCGGAAAAACCCUAAAAUUCAAACAUAACUUUUUCUUCAAGCUCGUACUGCACAAGAUGGAAAAUCAAGGAAUUCACCUUAUUUCUCAAACUAUUGAAAUUGUCGCUGGAAAAUUUCUGGCGAAAUUGAGUUUCUAACUAGGAAAAUGGCGAAUUGCUUUUGACAGGGUAGAAAGAGUCGGCUGUUGAUCUAAGAAAAGGAAUGGAUUUCUUCUACCCAAUAACAUAUAUACUUAUCACUCUUUUUUUUUGGGAAUUCGUGCAUCAAAAUGGUAGAAAUCACUUUAGGAAUUUCCUUAUGCAAAUAAAUAAAAUAAAGAUCAAACUCCACAUUAAUCACCCAUGGUCGGCCCACUUGGGC
rnacentral:lncRNA from 1 species